GGCUGGUCUGAGGACAGUGGUGUUUUAACAACAAAUUGAUCACAACCAGUUGCAGAUUCCUUUGUUCCUUCUUCACUCCCACUGGUUCACUUGACUAGCCUAAA
ensembl:misc_RNA Y_RNA Y RNA